UCCAGCUAUUCGCCGGCAGUCCCCUUAGAGUUCCCAGCAUUACCUGUUGGCAACUAAGGGCAAAGGUUGCGCUCGUUGCGGGACUUAACCCAACACUUCACAGCACGAGCUGACGACAGCCAUGCAGCACCUGUACAAUUGUCUCUUGCGAGAAGACCUACUUUCGUAGGCUGUCAACUGCUUUUCAAGCCUGGGUAAGGUUCUUCGCGUAGCCUCGAAUUAAACCACAUGCUCCACCGCUUGUGCGGGUCCCCGUCAAUUUCUUUGAGUUUCAGUCUUGCGACCGUACUCCCCAGGUGGUGGAUUUAAUGCGUUAGCGUCGGCGCUGGAGGGAUCGACACCCCCAACACCUAAUCCACAUCGUUUACGGCAAGGACUAC
rnacentral:misc_RNA from 1 species